rnacentral:rRNA from 1 species
UACAGAGGGUGCGAGCGUUGUUCGGAAUUAUUGGGCGUAAAGCGCUUGUAGGCGGCACGUCAAGUCGCGUGUGAAAUCCCCAGGCUUAACCUGGGAAGUGCGCGCGAAACUGACGAGCUUGAGUGCCGGAGAGGGUCGCGGAAUUCCCGGUGUAGAGGUGAAAUUCGUAGAUAUCGGGAGGAACACCAGUGGCGAAGGCGGCGACCUGGACGGACACUGACGCUGAGGAGCGAAAGCGUGGGGAGCGAACAGG